rnacentral:rRNA from 1 species
AUUGAACGCUGGCGGCAGGCCUAACACAUGCAAGUCGAACGGUAGCACAGAGAGCUUGCUCUCGGGUGACGAGUGGCGGACGGGUGAGUAAUGCCUGGGAAACUGCCCGAUGGAGGGGGAUAACUACUGGAAACGGUAGCUAAUACCGCAUAACGUCUUCGGACCAAAGUGGGGGACCUUCGGGCUCCACACCAUCGUAUGUGCCCAGGUGGGAUUAGCUAGUAGGUGGGGUAAUGGCUCACCUAGGCGACGAUCCCUAGCUGGUCUGAGAGGAUGACCAGCCACACUGGAACUGAGACACGGUCCAGACUCCUACGGGAGGCAGCAGUGGGGAAUAUUGCACAAUGGGCGCAAGCCUGAUGCAGCCAUGCCGCGUGUAUGAAGAGGGCCUUCGGGUUGUAAAGUACUUUCAGCGGGGAGGAAGGCGGAGGAGUUAAUAACUUCACUGAUUGACGUUACCCGCAAAAGAAGCACCGGCUAACUCCGUGCCAGCAGCCGCCGUAAUAC